UCCUUCUGCUGAUAGGAUGUAUACUUCUCCUGUAUGGAAGGAUGACACCUUGCAAGCCAUGAAAAUGUCACUGAAUCAUGUAAAAAAACAGCUAGGUGAGAAGGACAUUGCAGUUUGGCAUAAUCACACGAGCAACCAACCCCUCUCAGAAAAUUUCUUAUGCAGUUAAGCGGAGAGCACAGCCAGAGAUGGUGACACAGGCAUGGCUAAAAUUUUAUGAGAU